AACACUCCAAUUUGAUUGAUGAAACCGUUGCAGCGAGUGAGAUCUCAUAGUCCGCUGUAAACUAGGAUAAGAACCCAUCCUAAUGCAACACGUGUAAUCUACAGUUACUUGAAAGAUACACAAACUCGAAGCUUUUAUUUACAGAACCAAAUUUUACAUAUGCUGCACCAAUUUACAACUUAUAAUGCACAAUUUACAAGAACUGAUACUGUGGUUUUGUCAAUAAACUACCCAACAUAUAGCUAUUGACUUUUACACUACACAACAGUUUAAAAACACGCCACCUUCAAUAGUGUUGAUCUGCGUUUUUAUGUAUAUUUGAUUUUCAUUCAUUCAUUAGCAAGAAACAAAGGAGGAGAAAGAAAGAUGAAUUUUUUCUCAUAUUUCAACAGGAUUUUCCAUGGCCACCCUUCUGCCUCCAAAUUUUUUGUUAUUAGUUCUCUCAGGUUUCAGUUUGAUCCUAGCAUUUAGUAUUUCGCUCUUUAUAUGUAUUUGCUUAGAUGUAUUGAUUCAUAUCCUGUGGUUUAUUUAUAUGGAGUGUUUCCCCAAGGAUCCAUUUUUUGUUAAUUUUCUAUAGCUUGCUUCAAUUUCGUAAUUGUGAUGAACUUGAUCAUCUUUAUGUCCUGGGAUUUCAGGUUCAUUUGGUUCCCUUGGUUUAGAAGUUUAUCUAUGUAACUCCUUGUUUUUCUUUUGUGUACUAGUUUUUAUUACAAAUCCUUUGUGGGUUUUCCAGUUUGGUUCUAUAUAUAUGUGGAUAUGAUGUGCUCUGGUUUAUGGGUUCAAAAUGAUGGGGUGAUUUAUCGGAAUUAUAAGUUUCGUGUCUAUUUGAUUGUAUGAAAAUAUUGUUUCUUUACUGAUUUGAAACGUGUGACUGUGAGAAACAUAUUUUGUUAAUGAAAUAGUAACUUCAAGCCUGUUAAUUAAUUAAUUUUCGUUUCAAGUUUUUAUUACUCAAGAUUCAAGACUAUUUCAAAAGUAUUGUCAUAAGUUAGUGUGGUCCUCUGCCAAUAUUGAAAUCAGAUUCAUCCAAUUUGUGCAGUUAGUUGAAUGUAUUCAUGGUGAGAGUGUGCUAUUAGUCAGCAUUUUGACAAAUUGUUCAUAAAUUGAUGGUGGAAUGCCUUACAUUGUGAUCUUCGUUAGUUCCCUUUUGAUAUUAUGCUACCAGGACAAGAAGAAAGGGGGAUUAGUUGUUUUUUUGUGCGGUUUCAAAGAAGUUGAAGGUGCCAAACAAUUAAAACUUACACCAGGAUAAGGAGAUCACAUUUGCUCCAAGGAAUUCUCCAUUAUUUAUCUAACUAUAAUUGUUAGGACUAGAUUUUUUUCAAUUACUUUUUCGAAUGAAUUUGUGAAUCUCUACCUACUCGUAUUUCAAAAUUCCUAUUCAGUGAACAGUAGAGAUGCAAAUUUUGUCAGAAACAGACUACGAGGACUUCCGUUCUUCAUAUAUGUUAAUUUAAUUUUUGUAAAAUUAAACUUUUUGUGCUAUGACCCACCAAUUGAAUGUAGAUUCUAAAGAACAUUUUGUCACCAUUUAGUGAUAAGAAUCUG
rnacentral:lncRNA from 1 species